AUGGUCAAGUGAGCUGACAUCUGUCGGCCGAAAGAUCAAGGUGGCUUGGGCAUCGUGGCCUCCCGGCGUAUGAACGUCGCCUUGAUGUUGCGAUGGGUUCGGCGGAUAAUGCGUGGGGAGGGCGGGCUAUGCUCAUUCAGGCAAAAUAUCUUAGGAGUGAGCCUCUAUUGGCAUGUUCUCGGACAGGAUGAUCGCAUUUUUGGCGAGCCAUCCAAAAGAUCAAGGAGGAAAUCCGCCUAG
rnacentral:rRNA from 1 species